UUGAACAGAAACUGCAUAUGUAAUUGGAUACGAGAUGUAGCACAAGAUCUCUCUCUUGACAGAUCUACCUUGAAUCACAAAGAGGAGGACUUCAACAGAGAUUUCAAAUACUCCAUCCCAAGUCCACAAGUUGUGGAACAACCUGAACACCAGUCACUCACUUCUAAGACUCAGGCUUUUGCAAGGGAUCCAAUAGAUUCUCCUUCUGAAUCAAAAUACAAAGUGCCAUCCCGCUUUGACAGCAAUGAGGAUGACCGCAUCAAAAGGUCUUCUUCAGGGUUUGAGAGGAAGUUCAUGUAUGAGAUGGCGGAUGACAGUCCAAGUGACACCGAAUACAAAAAAGUGGAGGCUUACCUGGCAACGUCUGGUUCAUGGUCCAGCGAAAGCAGUCUCAGCACCAGUGGAACUCCAAGUGAACUCCCAAGAAAUGGCAGAAGGGAUGGAUCAGAGCUGGAGACUCCCAGGUGAGUGGCAGUGUCCACCACCAUGACUUGACUGGCGGGAAAGAUCUGGAGUGAAGUGCGUGUUUUGCACAUA
rnacentral:lncRNA from 11 species